rnacentral:rRNA from 1 species
UACGUAGGGUGCGAGCGUUGUCCGGAAUUAUUGGGCGUAAAGAGCUCGUAGGCGGUUUGUUGCGUCGGCCGUGAAAACCUGCAGCUUAACUGUGGGCCUGCGGCCGAUACGGGCAGACUUGAGUUCGGUAGGGGAGACUGGAAUUCCUGGUGUAGCGGUGGAAUGCGCAGAUAUCAGGAGGAACACCGAUGGCGAAGGCAGGUCACUGGGCCGCAACUGACGCUGAGGAGCGAAAGCAUGGGGAGCGAACAGG